CGGACGGGUGAGUAAUGCUUGGGAAUCUGGCUCAUGGAGGGGGAUAACUACGGGAAACUGUAGCUAAUACCGCGUAGUAUCGGAAGAUGAAAGUGUGGGACCGCAAGGCCACAUGCCAUGAGAUGAGCCCAAGUGGGAUUAGGUAGUUGGUUAGGUAAAGGCUGACCAAGCCGACGAUCUCUAGCUGGUCUGAGAGGAUGACCAGCCACACUGGAACUGAGACACGGUCCAGACUCCUACGGGAGGCAGCAGUGGGGAAUAUUGCACAAUGGGGGAAACCCUGAUGCAGCCAUGCCGCGUGAAUGAAGAAGGCCUUCGGGUUGUAAAGUUCUUUCGGUGAUGAGGAAGGUGUUUGUUUUAAUAGGACAAGCAAUUGACGUUAGUCACAGAAGAAGCACCGGCUAACUCCGUGCCAGCAGCCGCGGUAAUACGGAGGGUGCGAGCGUUAAUCGGAAUAACUGGGCGUAAAGGGCACGCAGGCGGUGACUUAAGUGAGAUGUGAAAGCCCCGAGCUUAACUUGGGAAUUGCAUUUCAUACUGGGUCGCUAGAGUACUUUAGGGAGGGGUAGAAUUCCACGUGUAGC
rnacentral:rRNA from 1 species